UCACCGGAAACAGCGACAGCGAGACUAUUGUUCAACAAGACUUCGCUUCUUUUAUCUACGCCCGGUAUAUUCUGGUGAACCCACAAAACUUCUCCGGAGCCCCAAGGUUACGGAUAGAACUACUCGGGGUCGAUGGUAAGUAGCUAAAAUAACACUUGACUUAUGCGUAGAAAAACAUUUAGACACAAAUAUUGUCGUCACAAAAUUUGCCCAAAAUUAGCCAUUUCAAAUCUUGGAACAUGCAUUUCUAACAGUGUUAUUAGGAUUUUCGACAGAACAAUAACUAUCACGGUGUUACUAUGCUAAGACUAUGGUACAUGAGCUACUUGCAAUACUAACGUAUUUUCUUCUAGAGUUACCUAUAACUAGCUCUCCCACAACACCCUUGUUCUGGACAAGUACAAAAAGUACUGCAACAUCAUACUCUACCAAGACGUCGCCGACAAAUACUGGGGGUCAAAAUCCAAGCAGCAGUACAACAGUGCCAAGUCAAUCAUCCAAUGUGAUAAACGUAGCAGCUGCAGCUGGGGGCGGAGGUGUUGCAUUCCUUGUGUUAAUAGUAGUAGCUGUUUUUCUGUUUAUGCGCAGGUAAGGUUCCAUCUUUUUGAAGCACGUGCUAUUUCUGUUGUACUCUAUGAUACAGUUGCUAUUAUAUUGCAGCUUUUGAUGCGGUUUUGACGAUUGACUGACUAAGGAGCUCUAAACCUGAGUUUUGAAGGUCUCUAUUUUAUUUGGCAGACGAAAAAAGAAACGAGCUCGAGCACCCCCAGUUGAAGAGACGUCAUCUAACUCGACCGGAUACGCCAAUGCGUCAUUUGUACCUAUAGCAGAACAAACCAGACAGAGUGUGCAAGAUGACGCUGCUCCAGUACCCGUUGCGACCAGAGCUAUGAAUCAAAUUGCAA